GUUGCCCAGGGGGCGCCGGACAUCGCUCGGUUUAGACCAACACUUAGACAAGCAUUGGCCCGGGGGGGCUAAAAUAAAGAUGACCCUCGAGAGAGCGACUCCCAAGGGAAAAAGUAGGUGGUGGUGAGGCAAAUGGUAAAAGUCAAUGUUGGGCCUUGCUGGACAAGUUUUAUUCAAAGCGAACUGUCAGGGGGGUCCCAUAAAUCACCCGACCGCGUUAGGAACACAAAAUCCGGGAACAUAACACCGGUAUGACGGAAACUAGGGCGGCAAGAGUGGAACAAAACACCAGGCAUAAGGCCGAGCCUUCCACCCUUUACCAAAUAUAUAGAUGCAUUAAUAAUAAUAAGAGAUAUUGUGAUAUCCCAACAUAACCCUGUCCACCAUGGAGCAAUCUUAACCUUCACCUGCAACUAGCAACACUAUAAGAGAGGCUGAGCAAAGCGGUAACAUAGCCAAACAACGGUUUUCUAGGAAAGGUGUCAAAGGUUAGAGGUUCAUGGCAAUUUGGGAGGCUUGAAGAGCAAAAGAUAGGUAAUGCAGCAUAGCGAAAGAACGAAACAACUAGCAUAGCAAUGAUAGUAGUGAGAUCCAGGGUAGCGGUCAUCUUGCCUGAAAUCCCGCUAGGAAGAAGAACGAGUCCAUGAAGAAGACGAACGGAAGUAGUCGAACGAAUCCUCACAAUCGCAACAUUACCGGAACUAAGAAGCAACACCGGAAACAAACAAACAACAUGGUAAACACACAAGCAUAAACAUGGCAUGAUGCACAAACAAGUAUGAUGCAUGUCCGGUUUAAUGAGGCAUGGCAUGGCAAAGUGCAACAAACAAUACUACAAGUUAAGUGGAGCUCAAUAUGCAACGAGUUGCAUAUUGACAAAACACCACAUCAAUUAUUUAGUUCUCUCUCGGUUAUGCACACAACAAUGUUAAAUGUUGUUAAACAUGGCAAGGGGUGUAAGAAAAGUAAACUAACCAUUUAGGAAAGUUUAAAUGAGGCCGGAACAACAAACAACAUUUCCGGAAAAUCCCCAUGUUAUUUAGCAAUUUAAUGCAACAACAAUUUUAAGCAUUUAAAUUGGUAUUAUCAUGAUGCGGAUGACAAUGCAAGUUUUAAGCAGUUUUUAUGAAAAUGUUGACAUGAGCAUGUUAUGAAGCAUUUGGUCACCAUGGAGGAACAAAACGGGUGCCACGGCAAUGAAUCCGAAAAUGAUGCCACGGCAACAUAUCGGUUCCGGUAGCUCACGGAGAUACCGGUGCAAAAAGGAAGUGAGUGUGAGCGAGUCAUGCCAGAUGGUGGGGUGCUCCCGGUUACCGGGUUCCCACGGGACGGCGGCAUGGCAAACGAGGAGGAACUUGCAAUGACAAUUCGGACACGGUGCACACACGAGCAUUCAUUCACGGGCUUUAAAUAUGUUUUAAAGAGAAAUCACCAUGUGAAUAUCCCUCGAUUUAAAUAGAUCAAUGAUCUAUGCAAUUUAUUUAGGUGAGUUUUAAAAAUUAAAUGACAUGCUGGCAUGAUGACAUGAUGCAAUGCAAGAGAUGGCAUGAUGAAUGCACAAACAGAACAAAUCACACGAUAAAACUCGAAAUAGCUGGAAGUCUUCUGGAGCAUCGGUCUCGGGGCGUUACAACACUCCACCACUACAAGAGGAUCUCGUCCCGAGAUCUAGGAUGGCACCGGAGAGAAACGGAAGAGGUAGAGAAGAGGUAAAACUAAGUUGCUUCUUUGACGAAUGAGUGAAACCAUGAACUUUGAGAGGUUGAGCAAUUUAAAAGAAAGAGUACAACAGAGAUGAACGAGAUUGCAAACAAUCCGGUAGAAAAGAGGAACAAGGAGUAUUACGAGAAUUUGAAGGUUGAAAGACAUGGAAAUAAGAGCUUCACGAACAAAAAGAAUAUGACCACAUCGGUGUAAUGAGAUAGCCAAGGAACAAGAAUGGCAGAAUUUGGACAGCACUCCGGUAGAAAAGAGAAGAAAACUUGAUGAGAUGAAAAGAUAUUGAAGAGAUGAUACAACACUCCGGUUAAAUGGAUAAGCAAGAAAAGAACAUGAUCCUCAAAAAACGAGGUGAUGGGUGAAGAGCACAACAUCACAAUGCCUCCGUAACGAAAGAAUAGAAGUUAGAUCGUUGGGAUAAAGGGACGGAGAAGAAAAUGACAAAUUUUGCCACAAGUGAACUUGGAAAGCAUCCUUGCAAAGAAGAAUCGAACGGAGUUGUUGGAAAAUCAACAACGAGAAGCACAGGCUUGUUGUGGGCUUAUGGAAAACAUCUCGAGACUAUGAGGUGACAACCGGCCACUAAUGGAAACCGUUGAUUUGAUUGAGAGCACCAAAGAGAUGAAAAUUGCUUUCGCCUAGAGGAUAGGAGAAAACUUGGAUCAUUGAUAAGCACCACAAAUAGCAACAUUCCUUAGGGAAGGCUUUAGGUGAAAUCUAUACCAAGAUAACUCUAAUGAAGAGAUUGGUGGAUUUAAAAUACCUCAUUCUUGACAACAUGUGAAUCAUGAGACACGAACUCAAAUAUUCAAGAAUGACAUAACACUACCUCAAAUGAUAAGGUAGAAAGAAUUCCACUUUGGAAUGCAAGAUGAAGAAUGCUUGAACUCCUCAAAACAAGACAUGUGUUGAACACCAUGUUUAAUUUUGAGUAUAGCUUGACGGGUCAUAACUUCGAGAGAAAACUUGAAGAACAAUUGAAGAAUGAAAGGAAUCCUUGACGAACCACCAUGUAGAGCCUCAAUGAAGAACUCCAGUAAUAAAAGGAUGAUACAAAGAAAGAGAAGUUGAACACACAAGGUGAACCCUUGCAAUGAUUUAGAUGGAGCUUCGCGACGAGAUAACUGAGAGAGCUUGGAACUCCGAAAAGAAAGAUGAAGCCUCUCGAACCGAGAAUGUGAUAUGAUGACCAACUCCGGAAAGAAAGAUGAAUCACUUGUAAUCAAGAAUUUAUUCACCAUGAAUAAUCUCCGUAAAAAGAAUUGAGUCACCUCGAGGAAAUAAGAAUAAGAUUUAUUGUAUGCUUAUCCUUCAUCAAAUUUAAUUGAUGACAAGCAACGGAUUUGGCAUACUACUUAUUCCCGUAGAAAGGAUUAAAAGAGAUAUAGCGCAAAACUUGAGAAGGUAUUGAUGGAACCACCGGUGGGAUUUGGAAACAACGAAUGAAUGAAUGAAUUGAUACGAUGACGAAUGAAGAGAAAUCUUGAACGAACCACCGUAAGAAUUGAAAAUGAACGUAGCAAAGGCACAAUUCACCGGGAAGAAUUGGAAAAUGAAUGAAGAUACUUGAGGGGAUUUAGAUACAUGAGAACGAAGAGAACAUGAACUGAUUAGAGGGUAUUUGAACGAUGCACCGGUAAGAUUUGGAUAACAAUAGCUACACGCUGAGAAUGAAGAAUUAUGACAUGAUGGCCUUCGUAGGAAUAAAAUGGAAAGAACUCACGAAAUGCUCCGGAUGGUAAGAAAAGAAUUGUCACAAUCAAAACAAUUAUGAGGAUAGCAUGAAGCUAGAACCAUGAAUAUUCAAGAGAAUGGACCAAGAUUUAAGAGAACCUCUUCUUCGGUCUUCACAUGUUGAGAAUGAUGACAAGAACCACCAAAAUUGUUGAGGCACUUCGGAACAAAGAAGAAUAGAAAUGAUGAACCAACGAUGAAAAUAUUAUGAAAGCGGUCUUGGAGAAGGAAUAUGACUGAUGAAAAUUCAUUCUUACGUCAAACUUUGAAAGGAAUUUGAGAAUCGCUCCGGAUAAAUUAGAAGAGUCAGGUAAGAUCCUGGGAAAAGACAUGUGGGUUAGGGCCCACUCGAAAGAAACAUCGUUGAAAAUGAUUUUAAAGAGAGAUUGCACCGGUUGAAUUAAAUGGCUUGAAUGAGAUAACAAUCUCCAAAUGGCUUGAACGGAUUAAGAAUGUAAACACAAAUCUUCUGAGAUAUCUUCAACACUCCGGAACAAUUGAAUAGCAAGCAGGGAAUGAUUGAGAGGUGCACCGGCAUGAGAAAGCAUUUGACACGAGGAAAGGAAUAUGAUCAACACUGAAAGCUUGAAUUGGAUCCACUGGAGAAGAAAAAAGAACGAAGGAUGAUGAACUUGAAACUGUUGAGCAUCUUCAUGGGAAAUCACCGGAUAAGAACAUUGAAAGAAAAGAACGAAGAGACUUCCCACAAAUAAAAGGAUACAUGAUUAAGAAAUCUGAGUCCUUGAAGAAAAAUGGUGGGAGGGCGGGAAAACAAAGGCAACUUGGAGCGGAUGAAACAAACACCGUUGAGAAAACUUAGAAAUGAUCUUGCGGGUGGGGAGAAUGAUCGGAUCCACUUGAAGAGAAGCGCACCGGGUGGAAAAGAAUUAACAUGACAACCUCAAUGAUCAAAAGGAUUAGUAUUCACAUAGCAAUAUGAGAACACCGUUUAGGAAAGGUAUGGAUUCAACAUUUGACUUCGAAGCAACUUGAAUACCACAUAUAACACAAAACAAAGGAUUUGGCUUGCAGAAUAAGCCGGAACAAAUACAUAUGAUAGAGAUUUACCCAAUCCCAUAUCAUGCAUCUGUCGAAAAGAUAUUCUAGGAGCUAGUUGAAUUCCCACCUAUAAACUCCCGAAACUUUCUGGUUAUGCAAUCUGGUGUUGGGGAUACAGGGGAAGCAAUAUAUCUCACCCAAACUAACAAUCCCUACAUCCAGCUGUAUCCAUCCGUCAACACAUAACCAAGAAACCUUCGGAAAUCGUGUACCUCAACCUUCGAAAAGCAUCCGUUAUACGAGUCAUGGCAAUACUCCCGUACUCACCUCAGUACUGGGUUAUCGGGGUUAUCUCACCAACAACUGCAUAAAAGAGAUUUUCGAUGUCGGCGUACUAAACUCAGGUAUUCCAGAACUUCAACGAUAAAAUUAUGGCGACAACACCUCAGAGCUCAACUCCCCGGGACACUUCCACUAAACCCCUGACAGGAGGCACCAAGACAAUGUUCUCAUCAUAAAACCAUCGGAACGAUUCCAAGAUACCCGCGUGAUCCUAAAAAGAAUUAGUGAAAUUUGAGAAGAGAAGAGUCAAAACUCUACGUCAGGAUGCCUUAACAGAGCGAUGAAGAGACUGGGGAGUAAAAAGAAUUCCUAACUCUCCGAUAUAUAUAAUCCUAAAUGACUCAAAACAUUUUUCUAGACACAACUCGGCCGCUAAAAACGAUCAAUCAAGGGGGCUCCUAAGGUCGGUCGAGGCUCUGAUACCAACUUGUCACGCCCAAGAUGCGACCCUAUCCUAAAGGAACUCGAAGGUCCCACCAAGGAUAGAAGCGCAUCUUGAAGACGCUUUUGCAAGGUGGAUAUCAUUACAUCAACAUUACAUAAUAGAUGGGGAUACAUACAAAAGGCAUACAAUGCCACACGAAUACAAUAACAUCAUACAAGAGAUCAACAUCCGACUACGGAUGAUACAUAAACAUAAACUCAAACAAUAUCCACCCUGCUAGCCCAGGCUGCCGACCUGGAACCUAUCCCCUGAUCGAAGAAGAAGCAGAAGAAGAACUCAACGCAAGCAAGCAUCGCUCUCGCGUCAUGAUCAUCGCAUAACCUGUACCUGCAACUGUUGUUGUAGUAAUCUGUGAGCCACGAGGACUCAGCAAUCCCAUUACCAUGGGUAUCAAGACUAGCAAAGCUUAAUGGGAAAGGAAGGGGUAAAGUGGUGAGGUUGCAGCAGCGACUAAGCAAUGUAUGGUGGCUAACAUACGCAAAUAAGAGCGAGAAGAGAAGCAAAGGAACGGUCGUGAAGCUAGCAAUGAUCAAGAGGUGAUCCUGAACACCUACUUACGUCAAACAUAACUCAGAAACCGUGUUCACUUCCCGGACUCCACCGAGAAGAGACAAUCACGGCUACACACACGGUUGAUGCGUUUUAAUUCGGAUCUGGUGUCAAGUUAUCUACAACCGGACAUUAACAAAUUCCCAUCUGCCACAUAACCGCGGGCACGGCUCUCGAAAGUUUAAACCUUGCAGGGGUGUCCCAACUUUGCCCAUGACAAGCUCUCGCGAUCAACGAAGGAAUAGACCUUCUCCCAGGAAGACCCGAUCAGUCUCGGAAUCCCGGUUUACAAGACAUUUCGACAAUGGUAAAACAAGACCAGCAAAGCCUCCCGCUGUGCCGACAAAUCCCGAUAGGAGCUGCACAUAUCUCGUUCUCAGGGCACACCGGAUGAGCCAGACAUCGGGUUGGCAUAGACCCUGGUUGCCCAGGGGGCGCCGGACAUCGCUCGGUUUAGACCAACACAUAGACAAGCAUUGGCCCGGGGGGGCUAAAAUAAAGAUGACACUCGAGAGAGCGACUCCCAAGGGAAAAAGUAGGUGGUGGUGAGGCAAAUGGUAAAAGUCAAUGUUGGGCCUUGCUGGACAAGUUUUAUUCAAAGCGAACUGUCAGGGGGGUCCCAUAAAUCACCCGACCGCGUUAGGAACGCAAAAUCCGGUAACAUAACACCGGUAUGACGGAAACUAGGGCGGCAAGAGUGGAACAAAACACCAGGCAUAAGGCCGAGCCUUCCACCCUUUACCAAAUAUAU
rnacentral:lncRNA from 1 species